AACGAACGCUGGCGGCAUGCCUAAUACAUGCAAGUCGAACGAGACCUUCGGGUCUAGUGGCGCACGGGUGCGUAACGCGUGGGAACCUGCCCUUAGGUUCGGAAUAACUCCCCGAAAGGGGUGCUAAUACCGGGUAAUGUCUUCGGACCAAAGAUUUAUCGCCUUUGGAUGGGCCCGCGUUGGAUUAGCUAGUUGGUAGGGUAAAAGCCUACCAAGGCGACGAUCCAUAGCUGGUCUGAGAGGAUGAUCAGCCACACUGGGACUGAGACACGGCCCAGACUCCUACGGGAGGCAGCAGUGGGGAAUAUUGGACAAUGGGCGAAAGCCUGAUCCAGCAAUGCCGCGUGAGUGAUGAAGGCCUUAGGGUUGUAAAGCUCUUUUACCCGGGAUGAUAAUGACAGUACCGGGAGAAUAAGCUCCGGCUAACUCCGUG
rnacentral:rRNA from 1 species